UGUGCCAGCAGCCGCGGUAAUACGUAGGGUGCGAGCGUUGUCCGGAAUUAUUGGGCGUAAAGAGCUUGUAGGCGGUUUGUCGCGUCUGCUGUGAAAGCCCGGGGCUUAACCCUGGGUCUGCAGUGGGUACGGGCAGGCUAGAGUGUGGUAGGGGAGACUGGAAUUCCUGGUGUAGCGGUGGAAUGCGCAGAUAUCAGGAGGAACACCGAUGGCGAAGGCAGGUCUCUGGGCCAUUACUGACGCUGAGAAGCGAAAGCGUGGGGAGCGA
rnacentral:rRNA from 1 species